rnacentral:ncRNA from 1 species
GGCGCUCGGCUUCGGGAGCGUGCGCCCCACCGGAAUCGGGUGCUCCAAGUGGGCCAUUUCACGUAAGCAGAACUGGCGAUGCGGGAUGAACCGGAAGCCGGGUUACGGUGCCCAACUGCGCGCUAACCUAGAACCCACAAAGGGUGUUGGUCGAUUAAGACAGCAGGACGGUGGUCAUGGAAGUCGAAAUCCGCUAAGGAGUGUGUAACA